rnacentral:rRNA from 1 species
CCUACGGGAUGCAGCAGUGGGGAAUAUUGCACAAUGGGGGAAACCCUGAUGCAGCGACGCCGCGUGAAGGAAGAAGUAUUUCGGUAUGUAAACUUCUAUCAGCAGGGAAGAAAAUGAAGGUACCUGACUAAGAAGCCCCGGCUAACUACGUGCCAGCAGCCGCGGUAAUACGUAGGGGGCAAGCGUUAUCCGGAUUUACGGGGUGUAAAGGGAGCGUAGGCGGUUUAGCAAGUCAGAAGUGAAAGCCCGGGGCUCAACUCCGGGACUGCUUUUGAAACUGUUGAACUAGAGUGCAGGAGAGGGAAGUGGAAUUCCUGGUGUAGCGGUGAAAUGCGUAGAUAUUAGGAGGAACACCAGUGGCGAAGGCGGCUUACUGGACUGUAAAUGACGCUGAGGCUCGAAAGCGUGGGGAGCAAACAGGAUUAGAUACCCCAGUAGUC